rnacentral:rRNA from 1 species
GUAGCGAGAGGAAGGUGGGAAUCCUUCCGGCCGAAUAUCUAAGGUUUCCAGAGUAAAGCUGAUCUGCUCUGGGUAAGUCGGGGCCUAAGGAGAGGUCGCAAGACGUAUCCGAUGGACAACAGGUUUAGAUUCCUGUACCGCAUAUAAACAGAACUGUGGGGACGCAUGUGGAAAGCAUAAGCCGGGAAUGGAAAGACCGGUACAAGCGGGGUAGGUGUGUGACAGGCAAAUCCGUCACAUAAGCCGAAGACGUGAUGUGGAGCGAAAUUUAGUAGUGAAGUAUGUGAGCCAUGUGCCGAGAAAAGCCGCUAUUGUUUUAUAUGUGCCCGUACCGUAAACCGACACAGGUGGAUGAGGAGAGAAUCCUAAGGCCGACGGAAGAAGCAUUGUUAAGGAAUUCGGCAAAAUGACCCCGUAACUUCGGGAGAAGGGGUGCCCACUGAAUGGUGGGCCGCAGAGAAUAGGCUCAAGCAACUGUUUAGCAAAAACACAGGUCUAUGCGAAACCGAAAGGUGAAGUAUAUGGGCUGACGCCUGCCCGGUGCUGGAAGGUUAAGAGGAGAGGUUAGCGCAAGCGAAGCUUUGAAUUUAAGCCCCAGUAAACGGCGGCCGUAACUAUAACGGUCCUAAGGUAGCGAAAUUCCUUGUCGGGUAAGUUCCGACCCGCACGAAAGGCGUAAUGAUUUGAGCACUGUCUCGACAAUGCAUCCGGUGAAAUUGAAGUACCAGUGAAGAUGCUGGUUACCCGCGCCAGGACGGAAAGACCCCAUGGAGCUUUACUCCAGUUUGAUACUGGGAUUCGGUACUGCACGUACAGGAUAGGUGGGAGACUUAGAACUAUGGACGCCAGUCUGUAGGGAGUCGCUGUUGGGAUACCACCCCUGUAGUACUGGGUUUCUAACCAUCUGCCGUGACCCGGCAGUGGGACAAUGUCAGGCGGGGAGUUUGACUGGGGCGGUCGCCUCCGAAAGGGUAUCGGAGGCGCUCAAAGGUUCCCUCAGAAUGGUCGGAAACCAUUUGAAGAGUGCAAAGGCAGAAGGGAGCUUGACUGCGACACCGACGGGUGGAGCAGGUACGAAAGUAGGACUUAGUGAUCCGGUGGUAUGAAAGUGGGAUUGCCAUCGCUCAACGGAUAAAAGCUACCCUGGGGAUAACAGGCUUAUCACUCCCAAGAGUUCACAUCGACGGAGUGGUUUGGCACCUCGAUGUCGGCUCAUCGCAUCCUGGGGCUGUAGUAGGUCCCAAGGGUUGGGCUGUUCGCCCAUUAAAGCGGUACGCGAGCUGGGUUCAGAACGUCGUGAGACAGUUCGGUCCCUAUCCGGCGCGGGCGGAGGAUAUUUGAGAGGAGCUGUCCUUAGUACGAGAGGACCGGGAUGGACGGACCACUGGUGUAUCUGCUGUCGGCCAACGGCAUGGCAGAGUAGCCAAGUCCGGAAGGGAUAAACGCUGAAGGCAUCUAAGCGUGAAGCCCCCCUCAAGAUGAGAUAUCCCUCACAUAAGUGAGUAAGAUCCCUUGAAGACUACAAGGUAGAUAGGGCAGAGGUGGAAGCACGGUAACGUGUGGAGCUGACUGUUACUAAUCGAUCGAGAUACCCAUAC